rnacentral:rRNA from 1 species
CUUUAUCGGAGAGUUUGAUCCUGGCUCAGGACGAACGCUGGCGGCGUGCCUAAUACAUGCAAGUCGAGCGGACAGAUGGGAGCUUGCUCCCUGAUGUUAGCGGCGGACGGGUGAGUAACACGUGGGUAACCUGCCUGUAAGACUGGGAUAACUCCGGGAAACCGGGGCUAAUACCGGAUGGUUGUUUGAACCGCAUGGUUCAAACAUAAAAGGUGGCUUUG